rnacentral:rRNA from 1 species
UGGCCGCGGUAUUUUGACCGUGCGAAGGUAGCAUAAUAAAUAGUCCAUUAAUUAUGGUCUGGAAUGAAUGGUUUGACGGAGAAUAACUUUCUUGUAAUUAUUGGUGAAUUUAAAUUAUCAGUAAAAAUGCUGAUAUAAUUUAGAGGGACAAGAAGACCCUAUAGAGCUUUAUAUUUAACCUAAAUUUAAUGGUAUUUAUAAGGGUAGAUAUUUUGUUGGGGCGACAUUAAAUAUUAAACAUUUAAUUUUUAUGCUUUACUAAAAGGUUAAAUGAUCCAUUAUUAAUGAUUUAAGACUAAGUUACCUUAGGGAUAACAGCGUAAUUUUGUUGUAGAGUUCCUAUCGAUGACAAAGUUUGCGACCUCGAUGUUGGAUUAAAAUUUCUAUAAGGCGCAAGAGUUUUAUAAGAUAGUCUGUUCGACUAUUAAAGUUUUACA